rnacentral:misc_RNA from 1 species
GAUGAAGAACGCAGCGAAAUGCGAUAAGUAGUGUGAAUUGCAGAAUUCAGUGAAUCAUCGAAUCUUUGAACGCACAUUGCGCCCUUUGGUAUUCCUUAGGGCAUGCCUGUUCGAGCGUCAUUUAAACCUUCAAGCUAAGCUUGGUGUUGGGUGACUGUCCGCUUCACGGCGGACUCGCCUCAAAAUUAUUGGCGGCCGGUACAUUGGCUUCGAGCGCAGCAGAAACGCGAACUCGGGCCCGUCGUAUUGGCUCCCAGAAGCUAUCUUCACAAUUUUGACCUCGGAUCAGGUAGGAAUACCCGCUGAACUUAAGCAUAUCAAUAAGCGGAGGA